CCUACGGGAGGCAGCAGUGGGGAAUUUUGGACAAUGGGCGCAAGCCUGAUCCAGCAAUGCCGCGUGAGUGAAGAAGGCCUUCGGGUUGUAAAGCUCUUUUGUCAGGGAGAAACGGUUGGGGCUAAUAUCCUCAGCUAAUGACGGUACCUGAAGAAUAAGCACCGGCUAACUACGUGCCAGCAGCCGCGGUAAUACGUAGGGUGCAAGCGUUAAUCGGAAUUACUGGGCGUAAAGCGUGCGCAGGCGGUUUUGUAAGUCUGUCGUGAAAGCCCCGGGCUUAACCUGGGAAUUGCGAUGGAGACUGCAAGGCUUGAAUCUGGCAGAGGGGGGUAGAAUUCCACGUGUAGCAGUGAAAUGCGUAGAGAUGUGGAGGAACACCGAUGGCGAAGGCAGCCCCCUGGGUCAAGAUUGACGCUCAUGCACGAAAGCGUGGGGAGCAAACAGGAUUAGAUACCCUGGUAGUCCACGCCCUAAACGAUGUCUACUAGUUGUCGGGUUCUUAAUUGACUUGGUAACGCAGCUAACGCGUGAAGUAGACCGCCUGGGGAGUACGGUCGCGAAGAUUAAAACUCAAAUGAAUUGACGG
rnacentral:rRNA from 1 species